UCUACAGCUCAACCGUGUCUUCAACUGCUCAGGUUCGCUGAUUUCCUGCAUUGAUCAGAAUCCAUGAUGAUGCAAUCCUCUUGUGAAGUCCUGGCUCACUGACCUCAAAAAUUAGGUUUAUCAUGCAGAGUACUCUUAGAAGAGCUGGCCACUGAAUAUUUUCUUUAUUUGCACAGCAAAUUUGUAUAUUUGAAGCCAAUGAGAAUUUGCUUUGAGA
rnacentral:misc_RNA from 1 species